rnacentral:rRNA from 1 species
GAUGAACGCUAGCGGGAGGCCUAACACAUGCAAGCCGAGCGGUAUUGUUUCUUCGGAAAUGAGAGAGCGGCGUACGGGUGCGGAACACGUGUGCAACCUGCCUUUAUCUGGGGGAUAGCCUUUCGAAAGGAAGAUUAAUACUCCAUAAUAUAUUGAUUGGCAUCAAUUAAUAUUGAAAGCUCCGGCGGAUAGAGAUGGGCACGCACAAGAUUAGCUAGUUGGUGAGGUAACGGCUCACCAAGGCGAUGAUCUUUAGGGGGCCUGAGAGGGUGAUUCCCCACACUGGUACUGAGACACGGACCAGACUCCUACGGGAGGCAGCAGUGAGGAAUAUUGGUCAAUGGGUGCAAGCCUGAACCAGCCAUCCCGCGUGAAGGACGACUGCCCUAUGGGUUGUAAACUUCUUUUGUAUAGGGAUAAACCUACCCUCGUGAGGGUAGCUGAAGGUACUAUACGAAUAAGCACCGGCUAACUCCGUGCCAGCCGCCGCUGUAACAC